UCCCUAGUAACGGCGAGUGAAGCGGGAACAGCUCAAAUUUAAAAUCUGGCCGUGUAUUCCGUCCGAAUUGUAGUCUUGAGAAGCAUCAUCCGUGCUGGACCAUGUACCAGUCUCUUGGAACAGAGCGUCAUAGAGGGUGAGAAUCCCGUCCUUGACAUGGACUCCCAUUACUUUGUGUUGUGCUCUCAACGAGUCGAGUUGUUUGGGAAUGCAGCUCAAAAUGGGUGGUAAAUUCCAUCUAAAGCUAAAUAUUGGCGAAAGACCGAUAGCGAACAAGUACCGUGAGGGAAAAAUGAAAACCACUUUGAAAAAAAAGUUAAACACUACUUGAAAUUGUUAAAAUGAAAACCCUGGAACUCAAUCUCGUUCUCUGGGAUUCACCCAUGCUUUUUGCUUGGUGCAUUUCCGAGUCUACGGGCCAACAUGAAUUUCCACCGGUGGAAAAGGGCCUAUGGAAUGUGGCCCCUCCGGGUGUGUUAUAGCCCUUUGUCAAACGCGCCGGUUGGGAUUGAGGUCUUUCACGUGCACGCUUUUACUUGUGCUUUGAUGUUGGCCUAAUCGCUUUGAACCACCCGUCUUGAAACCCGGACCUGGAGUCUAACAUGUCUGCGAGUGCUGGGGUGAAAAACCCAUGCGCGUAAUGAAAGUGAUCUCUUGGGGGCCCUUCACGGGGGGCACCGACGAUGUCUACCAGACCUUCUGUGACAGAUCCUAGGUAUAGCAUAUAUGAUAGGGACCCGAACUGAUGGUGAACUAUGCCUGCAUAGAGUGAAGCCAGAGUGAACUCUCGCAGGAGGCUCUUAGCGAUACUGACGUGCAAAUCUAUCGUCAAAUGUGCGUAUAGGGACCGAAAGACUAAUCGUAGCU
rnacentral:rRNA from 1 species